rnacentral:rRNA from 1 species
UACGUAGGGUGCAAGCGUUGUCCGGAAUUAUUGGGCGUAAAGAGCGCGCAGGCGGUCGUUCAAGUCGCGUGUGAAAGCCCCCGGCUCAACUGGGGAGGGUCACGCGAUACUGAUCGACUCGAAGGCAGGAGAGGGUAGUGGAAUUCCCGGUGUAGUGGUGAAAUGCGUAGAUAUCGGGAGGAACACCAGUGGCGAAGGCGGACUACCUGGCCUGUUUCUUGACGCUGAGGCGCGAAAGCUAGGGGAGCAAACGGG